ACGAACGCUGGCGGCGUGCCUAAUACAUGCAAGUCGAACGCUUCUUUUUCCACCGGAGCUUGCUCCACCGGAAAAAGAGGAGUGGCGAACGGGUGGGUAACACGUGGGUAACCUGCCCAUCAGAAGGGGAUAACACUUGGAAACAGGUGCUAAUACCGUAUAACAAUCGAAACCGCAUGGUUUUGAUUUGAAAGGCGCUUUCGGGUGUCGCUGAUGGAUGGACCCGCGGUGCAUUAGCUAGUUGGUGAGGUAACGGCUCACCAAGGCGACGAUGCAUAGCCGACCUGAGAGGGUGAUCGGCCACAUUGGGACUGAGACACGGCCCAAACUCCUACGGGAGGCAGCAGUAGGGAAUCUUCGGCAAUGGACGAAAGUCUGACCGAGCAACGCCGCGUGAGUGAAGAAGGUUUUCGGAUCGUAAAACUCUGUUGUUAGAGAAGAACAAGGAUGAGAGUAACUGUUCAUCCCUUGACGGUAUCUAACCAGAAAGCCACGGCUAACUACGUGCCAGCAGCCGCGGUAAUACGUAGGUGGCAAGCGUUGUCCGGAUUUAUUGGGCGUAAAGCGAGCGCAGGCGGUUUCUUAAGUCUGAUGUGAAAGCCCCCGGCUCAACCGGGGAGGGUCAUUGGAAACUGGGAGACUUGAGUGCAGAAGAGGAGAGUGGAAUUCCAUGUGUAGCGGUGAAAUGCGUAGAUAUAUGGAGGAACACCAGUGGCGAAGGCGGCUCUCUGGUCUGUAACUGACGCUGAGGCUCGAAAGCGUGGGGAGCAAACAGGAUUAGAUACCCUGGUAGUCCACGCCGUAAACGAUGAGUGCUAAGUGUUGGAGGGUUUCCGCCCUUCAGUGCUGCAGCUAACGCAUUAAGCACUCCGCCUGGGGAGUACGACCGCAAGGUUGAAACUCAAAGGAAUUGACGGGGGCCCGCACAAGCGGUGGAGCAUGUGGUUUAAUUCGAAGCAACGCGAAGAACCUUACCAGGUCUUGACAUCCUUUGACCACUCUAGAGAUAGAGCUUCCCCUUCGGGGGCAAAGUGACAGGUGGUGCAUGGUUGUCGUCAGCUCGUGUCGUGAGAUGUUGGGUUAAGUCCCGCAACGAGCGCAACCCUUAUUGUUAGUUGCCAUCAUUUAGUUGGGCACUCUAGCAAGACUGCCGGUGACAAACCGGAGGAAGGUGGGGAUGACGUCAAAUCAUCAUGCCCCUUAUGACCUGGGCUACACACGUGCUACAAUGGGAAGUACAACGAGUCGCAAAGUCGCGAGGCUAAGCUAAUCUCUUAAAGCUUCUCUCAGUUCGGAUUGUAGGCUGCAACUCGCCUACAUGAAGCCGGAAUCGCUAGUAAUCGCGGAUCAGCACGCCGCGGUGAAUACGUUCCCGGGCCUUGUACACACCGCCCGUCACACCACGAGAGUUUGUAACACCCGAAGUCGGUGAGGUAACCUUUUGGAGCCAGCCGCCUAAGGUGGGAUAGAUGAUUGGGGUG
rnacentral:rRNA from 1 species